rnacentral:piRNA from 1 species
UGCAUGUGGAUAGACGGAGAGGGAUAAC